UUUUGUAUUUUUGUACGUAAACCGAGAACACCUUUACGUUUGCUUUGUACUCACUCUGUUCACUAUUAUAGAUGUUCUUACCUUUUUUCUGUAUCGGAUGUAUAUUGAUGUGUUUUAGUGUGUUUAUUCAAGUCUUGAAAUAUCCAAAACAUCUUAUAACAGUGAAUUGGGGUGGGCCAGAAAAGCGGCAUCCGUCCGUUGUGCGUGCCGGCGACAGGGACGGCAAUUCCCGAGUUCUUCCUGAUCCGUGGAUCAGAUCGUUUGCCGGAAAGUUGGUCCGUGGACCAAGAAGCAUGCAUUCCACCGCAGAUAAGGGCUGAGCGACGUCUUAUGGAGACGAGUUCCUGCACACUGCACAGUGGGCCAACUUGAUUUCCUGGCCAUGUAGUUUCUAGUGCAGUAGAUAAGCAGAUUCCCUUUACCUGAGGAAGUUGGCGAGAGCGCAACCCCUAUGGAUCUGGUGGAGUACGGACUGAAAGCGUCGAAUCCGGCUGCGGCCACGGUUGCAAUGCCAGACGUAAACGGGGACUCACAAUUUUUUUUCUUCUGAAACACGAGGUCGCGCAAAUAGGCGAGGGAGAAAGGUCCAGGCCUCCAGGGAGAUCAGACGAAAAAUAUCGCCACAAGCAUCCGAGCUUUCGACCGGCAAGAUGAACCCCUGGCCCCUGGUUGGGCUGGGAGGUACGCACCCUUAGACAUAUAAGCUAUUCUUUCAACAUGCAUUCUGGUUCUAAUGGUAGGGCACUUGUGCACAUAUUUACACACGUUGAUGGCCCAUGAUUAGCAGAAAAAUUUAGGUACCUGCAGAAGCUGACUCACGAAGGCUAUUUAAAAAUGAACUUUUAUGGCUUAAACGUUUGGAAUUCCCGCUGUAUUUUAGCCCUUGAGUUAUUGCAGUGAAAUCAUACACU